rnacentral:rRNA from 1 species
AGCAGCCGCGGUAAUUCCAGCUCCAAUAGCGUAUAUUAAAGUUGUUGCAGUUAAAAAGCUCGUAGUUGAAUUUCGGAAUCAAUGGAUCGGUCAUGCCACUCGGUGUGUACUGGUUUGAUUGGUUCUCACCUUCUAAGGAACCGUGAUGUCAUUAAUUUGGUGUCGCGGGGAAUUAGGACUGUUACCUUGAAAAAAUUAGAGUGUUUAAAGCAAGCUCACGCUUGAAUACAUUAGCAUGGAAUAAUGAAAUAGGACAUUGUAUUCUAUUUUGUUGGUUUCUAGGAUCGAUGUAAUGAUUAAUAGGGAUAGUUGGGGGCAUUAGUAUUCAAUUGUUAGAGGUGAAAUUCUUGGAUUUAUUGAAGACUAACUACUGCGAAAGCAUUUGCCAAGGAUGUUUUCAUUAAUCAAGAACGAAAGUUAGGGGAUCGAAGACGAUCAGAUACCGUCGUAGUCUUAACCAUAAACUAUGCCGACUAGGGAUCGGAUGAUGUUAAUUUUUAAUGUACUCAUUCGG